UCAAAUAUAAAUUUAUUUCAUUGAAGAACAUUACCUAAUCAUACGUAUGAAAAUCCAGCCGUUAUUCAGGGAGAUCUGACAAGCUUUCUGCCUGUUCACAGCCCUGGUUGUGAGUGGCUGCUGAACACCAUCAUCUUCAAUUUGACUGUGAUCGUUCUGAAACUCUGCCAUUCUAUAGCAUUUUAGAGUACAAGGUGAUGACACAUCCUUCUGUGAGGUCAGUGGAGAAAUGAUUGAACACCCCUGAUGUAGAUCGAUGCAAGAUGAAAUCUGAUUUGGAGCUCAAGCUGUGAGGGUGGACCACCUGGGUCCAAAUUUUGCCUCAUCCUAGCUGUGUGACCGUGGGCUGUAUAUUGCCUGAGGAAGACACUGCAGUUUUGGGCCUCCUCACAGCCUGAGCAUGUAGAAGAGAUUCAAUAUAGAUAUCACCUGAUUAACUCUUUGAAGAAUACCUUCAAUUCAGUAAAAGUAUCCACUGCAGUAUCAAAAACAGGUUGGGUGAGAAAGAACUCUGACCGUCUUACUGGGAAUCUCCAGUGGAAUUUCUGGCCCCAUCUAGCUCUUUCUGCCCAGCUGUUUUCCUAUUGCAAACUCACCAUAUAUAUUUUCCGCUAAGGAACAAGAUCUUGGAGGUAGCACCACAGUAAACACCCAUGCAGUCACAACAUAAAACAAAAUCUCUUAGCUUUGUCUCAUUUGACAAAGGUUCUAUUUCCUUUUAAUAACAAAAAUAACAAGUUAUAUAU